rnacentral:rRNA from 1 species
GAUGAACGCUGGCGGCGUGCCUAAUACAUGCAAGUCGAGCGAACGGACGAGAAGCUUGCUUCUCUGAUGUUAGCGGCGGACGGGUGAGUAACACGUGGAUAACCUACCUAUAAGACUGGGAUAACUUCGGGAAACCGGAGCUAAUACCGGAUGAUAUUUUGAACCGCAUGGUUCAAAAGUGAAAGACGGUCUUGCUGUCACUUAUAGAUGGAUCCGCGCUGCAUUAGCUAGUUGGUAAGGUAACGGCUUACCAAGGCAACGAUGCAUAGCCGACCUGAGAGGGUGAUCGCCCACACGGUAACUGAGACACGGUCCAGACUCCUACGGGAGGCAGCAGUCGGGAAUCUUCCGCAAUGGGCGAAAGCCUGACGUAGCAACGCCGCGUGAGUGAUGAAGGUCUUCGGAUCGUAAAACUCUGUUAUUAGGGAAGAACAUAUGUGUAAGUAACUGUGCACAUCUUGACGGUACCUAAUCAGAAAGCCACGGCUAACUACGUG